CCAUCUGYCUGUAUUUCUCACUGUGCAGGUCAAUCCCCCUCCUCAGUAGGGCUCCUGAUCUAGCGUGGGGCUCCCUGACUCUGCAGAGCCCAUGCUAUCUACGUGUGAGAGGCACCAGCAGGAAGGCUGAAGCUUUCCUUACUUCUGCAGAGACUGCCCCCAAUGUCAGCAGAACUGCCUGAGCCAUCAGCUGUCACCCAGCAGGGAAGGUGAUCAUGCGCUGUCGUCAGGCAUGUCAUGAAGGUAGGUACAAUUGUAAAAUAUGUGAUUCUGCCUCCUCAGAGGAAGUCUUUUGUGU
rnacentral:lncRNA from 1 species